rnacentral:rRNA from 1 species
AACGUAGGUGGCGAGCGUUAUCCGGAUUUACUGGGCGUAAAGCGUGUGCAGGCGGGGCUCCAAGUGGGGGAUGAAAUUUCCCAGCUUAACUGGGAGAGGUUAUGCCAGACUGGAGUUCUAGAGUGCGAGAGAGGGGCGUGGAAUUCCGGGUGUAGUGGUGAAAUGCGUAGAGAUCCGGAGGAACCCCAGAGGCGAAGGCGGCGCCCUGGCUCGCAACUGACGCUCAGACACGACAGCAUGGGGAGCGAACGGG